CCUACGGGGUGCUGCAGUGGGGAAUAUUGGACAAUGGGCGAAAGCCUGAUCCAGCCAUGCCGCAUGUGUGAAGAAGGCCUUCGGGUUGUAAAGCACUUUCAGUGGGGAAGAAAGCCUUGGGGCUAAUACCCUCGAGGAAGGACAUCACCCACAGAAGAAGCACCGGCUAACUCCGUGCCAGCAGCCGCGGUAAUACGGAGGGUGCGAGCGUUAAUCGGAAUUACUGGGCGUAAAGCGCGCGUAGGCGGUCUGAUAAGCCGGUUGUGAAAGCCCCGGGCUCAACCUGGGAACGGCAUCCGGAACUGUCAGGCUAGAGUGCAGGAGAGGAAGGUAGAAUUCCCGGUGUAGCGGUGAAAUGCGUAGAGAUCGGGAGGAAUACCAGUGGCGAAGGCGGCCUUCUGGACUGACACUGACGCUGAGGUGCGAAAGCGUGGGUAGCAAACAGGAUUAGAUACCCGAGUAGUC
rnacentral:rRNA from 1 species